GUGCAGGAUAGUUACGGAUCAGCUGAUGUGGUGCUGGUUUGUCGUUCCCCCUGCAAAAAUUAAAAUGUUUCUUUACUAUCCCUGGCUGUCUACAUCCCACGACUUUCAGGGACGCUUGGAUUCAAACAU
ensembl:snoRNA SNORA63 Small nucleolar RNA SNORA63